rnacentral:lncRNA from 1 species
AUGGAGUGUGACAAGGCCAGGUGACAGGCCUGACAUGCGGUGUCCACAUCCAGAAGGGAGACCCUGGGGGGAUGACCCUCCACUGCCACCCCCUCCCAUCAGGCUCUGGACACCCUUGAGCCUCCCACCAUCCACCUUACCAGAUCCCCCCAAGAGCCCGGGAAGCUCGCUCCCCCAGGGGACCAGGAGCACAGCCGCUUCCAUCCGUAACGGGCGUGAAUCCCAAAGGGGCGUGAGGAAAGAAAGCCAUUUCACAUCGACUUGUCCUUCUGGCCCCAGGCAGCAGCACAGGGCGCACGGUGGGCCUCUGCAGACAUGAUGGCUCCGUGGUCAGGGAGGCGCCACCUCCCAUGUGCCUGGGGAGGGGCCCUCCCAAGCCCCUGCAUGGCAGGGCCAAGGGGUUGGAGUCAGCCCCAGCACACCCAGGGCCCUGCUCACUGGUGGCCAUUGUCAGCGUCACCUCCACCUUCAGGAGCCUGCCACGUGCCUGCUCUCGGUCACUCAGCCCUCCCUGGCACGCACCACUUUGUCCACACACCCUGUGUGUAAGUGGUGACAGCAGUGACAGCUCAGGCGUCACCUGAUCGGGCCGACUCUAAACCUUAGCCCUUCCUUGACCUGUUGUGCUGGACAAGCCUCUGGGAGGCGACGGUGGGACAGCCACAGGGUUCUUGGCUCAGCCCCCAGGAGUGGGGAGCUGGGGCUCUGGACGGAGGCGGGCACUCGAGGCUGGUGUGGCCCCCUGGGUGAGGGCCAGGCUCGGGAGAGGCAGCCAGACGGCCCCAAGCCACCCCAGGAACAAAGCACCAGCACAUGCCUCCACUGGUUUGCCAGGGCUGGGAGCAGUUGGAGUGCUUCUGUGGUGGCUGUGGCAGCCCACGGCCCCAAGACCCUGGCUUCCUUCUGCUCCCACCUCUCCAGGCCCCUUCCCCAACAAGCAGCUACUGCAGGACCCAGUGGGGGCUAGGGCACCAGCAGCUGCCAUUACCCAUGCUGGGGCCUGAUGGUUCCUGACCAGCCUCAACCAUGGAUUCCAAGCUGGGGAAGGAAGAAGCAGGCUGGGAGUGGGGAGGGAGACAGUGAAGGACACCCAAACACACACACACACACACGUAGAAAGAACACUCAGUCUCAGCAUUGUUUCCCAGUAAUCUCACUUAAAAAGAACACUUGGGUUUACCAUGUCCACAUAAUCUCGUUGCUCUGAGAAUGAACUUAUUCUUCCUCACAGCUUGGCCAUGUGUCCCUCCCCAUUGCCCAAGUCCCCUCAUGACAGCAUCUCCCACUGCCAUGUCCUCUCUUUGGGGACCUCCAAGUCCCUGGAGUUUGGGGACUGCAGGGUGGGUGGAGGGGCCCACAAGCUCUGCAGGGAGCCAGAAGGAAACGGUCUGUCCCACCCCAGGGCUGAGCACCUCGCUGGCUGAUGAUACCCACACCUGGAAAUAGCUCAAGGGCCGCGUGAGGCCGCACGACACCCACGCCAGUAUGAGACACCUGGCCAUGUGGCAUUCCUGGCCGAUUGCUGGCAGCUGCAGGCUUUGUCAGCCAGAUGAUGUCCCCGGGGUCUCUGGGCAGGCAGGGCACACAGGAAGCAGCUCACACUCACUCAUCAUGGCAAGGCGGGUCGUGUGGAACUUCCUUGGUCUUCCUCAUCUGCGCCCCACCCAGCCUGGCAGAUGGUGAUGCUGUGAGUGCUGGGGAAACACACACACGCGCACACACACACACACGCACACAUGUACAGGCAGGUGCACACAUGCCUGGGAGAGUCUGUGCUGCUCAGCUUCUGACGGCAGCUCCCCAGGUCCCCCGAGGGUCUGCGGUAGGAGGCGAGUCUUUUAACAUCAGCCCAAACCAAACAGGACGAGGAGGGCAAAUCGGCCAUCCCCAAUAAAUCCUAGGGAGUCCUUCCAAGGCAAACAGAAAAUGCACCCCAGCUUUCGCUUUUAGGGGUUUGAGUUGCGAGUUUCCGGUCUUUGGAGUGCGAUGGCCGGGUGUGAGUCUGAAGCCCGCUGGGGGAGAGAAGCUGCACAGUGCAGAGGUACACAUCCCAGCUCCACUCCCCAGCUGUGAAGCCCGGCGCAUUCCGCGUUCCCCGCCCAUCUCCACCUCCGAGGGUUGCGGGAGGCUGAGCAGUUAGAACCGUGGCUGGCAUACCGAGGGCACUCGGUAAACGUGGCUGUGCUGGGCUGUGGGCCUCGAAGGAGUCUCAUGGGGCUGCUGUACCAAUGACCUAGCACUGGGUGGCCUAAAACAACAUGUGUUUCCUCACAGCUUGGGGGACCAGAGCCCAGAAUCUGGGGGUCACAGAGGAGGCUCCAUGCUCACCCAGGUCAGCUCUGGGGGCUGCAGGCCACCCCUAAUCUGGGAUGGUCUUAUGUUGAGGUCCUUAAUUACAUCCACAAAGACCCUUUCCCCAGAUAAGUCCCCACGCACAGUUCCCAGGGAUAGCCUCCGGGGCAGCAUCACCACUCACUCAGUCCUCCGUGCACCCCUUUGUGCUGACUGUCAUGUAACUUGGAUCAGGUCCACGCGUGUGGCUUUGCGGCUUUCCUUUGUCACAGCAUGUCACAACUGUUUUCCUGGGUGUCACUGCUGUGGUUUGAAUUUGCGUGUCCCCAGCCUUCAUAUGUUGGAACCUGAGACCCAAGAAGAUCGUUAUAAGACGCGGGGCCUUUGGAAGGUGAUUAAGUCACCAGGGUCCCCAUUGAAGCACUUGGGAAACCAUCGAGGCCCCCUCCCCUUUGUCCUCUCACCUUCCACCGGGAGAGGACGCAGCAAGAGGCACCCACUGGGAGGCAGAGAGCAGCCCCCACUCCCACCGAGGCUGCUGGCACCGAGACUCUGGACUUCCAGCCUCCAGAAGCAUGAGAAAUAAAUGUCUAUUGUGUGUCAAUG